CUGGGCCUCAGUUUCUCAUUCCUUAGCACACCUUAAGUAGUAAUAUUAUCUGGACGCUUUUAGAAACAUUUUUGACCCCCUGAAUCAAUUUGUGAGUGACAGGAGUUAUCUAAUGUGGACGGCUCUUGCCUUUAAAAAAAAAAUCUUAACUACCCGAAGGUAUUUAAGAAAUGCUAUCCUUUGCAGUGUUAAAACAGAAAGCUGGAAAGAUGGGCAAUAUAAAACUAAAUGAUCCUUAUUGUGGGUUUGUCCCCUGCUUCUACCUGACGUCAAGGGACCACAAAGUCCAGGACGCUGGAUUUCUAGCCCUCCCAUUUCUGAUUGCGCCUGGGCUCCAGACAGCAAACUCUGAAACUGGGAACCAGCACAAGAAAUCUCCCAAACAACCCCUUCCGCUCUGCCUUGAGCUCCAGGGAAGGAGGCAUCUGAUACUCAGAAUGUGUGGGGGAGUCAUUUCUCUCUUCAGAUCUUUCUCCAUUUUCUCACACCUGCUGGCUUCUGCUUCUUGAUGGUCCCACCCUUAACUCCAGGUGCACAUGUGGGAAGCUGGCAGCACAGCAGAAUCGAGCAAUACAGCUCUCACCUAUAGCUUUCUGAUGAAGCCUUAAUAAUGACAGUGAUACAUGCAAUGCUUCUCUGUACUAAUGAGCACCGAACCAAGAAAACAAUCUUGAAAGGGAAGAGGAGAAGAUAUAUUAAUUCUAUAGAAAUGUUUUGCAUAAUUGUGAUUUCUUAUCAUAAACAA